rnacentral:rRNA from 1 species
GAUGAACGCUGGCGGCGUGCCUAAUACAUGCAAGUCGAGCGAACAGACGAGGAGCUUGCUCCUCUGACGUUAGCGGCGGACGGGUGAGUAACACGUGGAUAACCUACCUAUAAGACUGGGAUAACUUCGGGAAAUCGGAGCUAAUACCGGAUAAUCUAUUGAACCGCAUGGUUCAAUAGUGAAAGUCGGUUUUGCUGUCACUUAUAGAUGCAUCCGGGCCGCAUUAGCUAGUUGGUAAGGUAACGGCUUACCAAGGCAACGAUGCGUAGCCGACCUGAGAGGGUGAUCGGCCACACUGGAACUGAGACACGGUCCAGACUCCUACGGGAGGCAGCAGUAGGGAAUCUUCCGCAAUGGGCGAAAGCUUGACGGAGCAAGGCCGCGUGAGUGAUGAAGGUCUUCGGAUCGUAAAACUCUGUUAUUAGGGAAGAACAAAUGUGUAAGUAACUAUGCACGUAUUGACGGUACCUAAUCAGAAAGCCACGGCUAACUACGUG